UUCGGUUGAAAAGUAAAUAACGAAAAACAGUAAAAACAAUAAAAACACCACAAAAUGUUGACGGAGAAAACCCAACUGGGUAAAAACUCCGGGCACAAGCCAGUAGAGAUUCACUAUCGAAGAUAUUGACUUACAGUACGCCAGACACAAUUGAAACUACCAAUUCUCUGACCUCCUUACUGUAUCAACCAAAGCUCUCCUGGAUUCUGCAGAUCUGUGCCAAAAUCCCAGCCUUGAAUAUCUUCAACCUCUCGUGAAUCACCAAGCACUCCUGCUCUUCAAGCAAUUUCCUUCCCGGAUCUUCAAACUGAUGAUCUUC
rnacentral:lncRNA from 1 species